rnacentral:rRNA from 1 species
AUCGAACGCUGGCGGCAGGCCUAACACAUCCAAUUCGAACGAGUGGCGGACGGGUGAGUAAUUUCUGGGAAACUGCCUGAGGUAGCGGGAGAACUACUGGAAACGGUAGCUAAUACCGCAUACUAGCCGAUGUGCCCAGAUGGGAUUAGCUAGUUGCUGGGGUAACGGCUCACCAAGGAGACCAUCCCUAGCUGGUCGGCGAGGAUGACACGCCACACUGGAACUGAGACACGGUCCAGACUCCUACGGGAGGCAGCAGUGGGGAAUAUUGGCCAAUGGGCGCAAGCCUGAUGCAGCCAUGCCGCGUGUAUGAAGAAGGCCUUCGGGUUGUAAAGUACUUUCAGCGGGGAGGCGUUACCCGAAGAAGAAGCACCGGCUAACUCCGUGCCAGCAGCCGCGGUAAUUC